rnacentral:lncRNA from 12 species
AUGCGGGGCCUUCAGAGGCUGGGACGCUCAGCAUGCGGGGCCCUGUCACCUGCCGCGUCUGCGCUCCCCUCCGGGCCGUGUCACUGGCUGUGUCUGUGCGUGUCCCCGUCUUUCGCAGGGAUGCUCUGGGGGUCACCUCCGCCUGGCGAUCCUGGUCCUUGCGUCCUGCACGCGGGGCCUCGAGAGGCUGGGAUGCUCAGCGCGCGCCGGGCCGUGUCACCUGCUGUAUCUGUCCGUGUCCCCGUCUCCCUUGGGGCCUCCAGGGGUCACCCCCGUACGGCGAUCCGGGCCCUUGGGUCCUGCAUGCGGGGCCUCCAGAGGCUGGGAUGCUCAGUGCGCGCGGGGCCGUGUCACCUGCUGUGUCUGUCCGUGUCCCCGUCUCCCGCGGGGCCCCCGGGGGUCACCUCCGCCCGGCGAUCCGGGCCCUUGGGUCCUGCAUGCGGGACCUCCAGAGGCUGGGACCGUGAGUUCGCGCCGCUCGGACCCGCCGCGGGGACCGGACCGCGGCGCGCCAGCGCCCCCGGCCUCUUCCGCCGCCAGCGCCGCAGCCCCGCCCCCCGACUUCCACUCCUGCGCACUGGCCCGGCGCAGGCCCGCGCGGGCUGCCGGGAAGGCGCGGAGCGGCCGGGGCGGACCGCGGGCUCCCGGGCACGUGAGGGACCCCCCCAGCCGAGCGCGCGGCUGCUGCGGAGCCGGGCACCCCCCCGCACCUUCCACUGCCCUCGGUCGGCUGCUGGGUCGCCGAGGUCUUCCGCAGAGAUUCCCGAGACGCAGGGGCGCAGGCGGAGGGGGGAGCGGGCUCACCGCGAGGACCGGACUCCCCGCGGGGACCGGAAGCGGGACUCUAACCUGGGACCCGGGGUCACGCCCUGGGCCGCAGGCAGGUGCUCCUCCGCUGAAUCCCUGGACGCCCCUCUUUUUUUUUCUUUUUUUUUUUUUUUUUUAGAUUUUUAUGUAUUUAUUCAUGAGAGACAGGCAGAGAGGCAGAGGCACAGGCGGGAGGGAGAAGCAGGCUUCCUGCGGGGACCGGAAGUGGGACUAACCCAGGACCUGGGGUCGCGCCCUGGGCCGCAGGCAGGUGCUCCACCGCUGAGUCCCCCCCCCCCGUGCCCUUUUUUUUUUUUUUUUUUUUUUAAAGAUUUCAUGUAUUUAUUCAUGAGAUACACAGAGAGAGGCAGAGGCGCAGGGAGCCCGUGCAGGGAGCCCGAUGUGGGACUCCAUCCCAGGACCCCGGGGUCACGCCCUGGGCCGCAGGCAGGUGCUCAAGAUUUACAAAAGCUAAGUACAUAG